rnacentral:antisense_RNA from 1 species
CCUUAUGGUGUCCAUGCGUGGGGCUUCUUCGUGAGCGCCGGGGUUUGCUGGUUUUGACCGGUCUACCAACCUGCGUAUGGCCACCACCCUU